ACACGUUCUCGGGGCGGGGUGCAAUUCCCAACCAGCGGUAAUCGUUCCUGCAUGUCGGAACGUAGUCUGAGAGCGCUCGCCGCACUCAAGCGGCGAGGUCAGAAGACCCGGUUGGAUUCCGGAGCCGACGGUCAUAGUCCGGAUGAAAGAGAACAGGA
rnacentral:ncRNA from 2 species